rnacentral:rRNA from 1 species
AGUUCCCUACGGGAGGCAGCAGUGGGGAAUAUUGCACAAUGGGGGAAACCCUGAUGCAGCAACGCCGCGUGAGUGAAGAAGUCAUUCGUGAUGUAAAGCUCUAUCAGCAGGGAAGAAAAUGACGGUACCUGAGUAAGAAGCCCCGGCUAACUACGUGCCAGCAGCCGCGGUAAUACGUAGGGGGCAAGCGUUAUCCGGAUUUACUGGGUGUAAAGGGAGCGUAGGCGGUUCAGCAAGUCAGAAGUGAAAGCCCGGGGCUCAACUCCGGGACUGCUUUUGAAACUGUUGAACUAGAUUGCAGGAGG